AUGCAAGUCGACGAGAAGUGGAGCAAUCCAUGAGUACAGUGGCGUACGGGUGAGUAACACGUGGGUGAUCUACCUUUUAGUGAGGAAUAACCCUGGGAAACCGGGGCUAAUACCGCAUGAGCCCGAGAGGGGAAAGCAGAAAUGCGCUGAAAGAGGAGCCCGCGGCCGAUUAGCUAGUUGGUGAGGUAAGAGCCCACCAAGGCAGAGAUCGGUAGCCGGCCUGAGAGGGCACACGGCCACACUGGCACUGAAACACGGGCCAGACUCCUACGGGAGGCAGCAGUGGGGAAUCUUGCACAAUGGGGGAAACCCUGAUGCAGCGACGCCGCGUGAGCGAUGAAGCCCUUCGGGGUGUAAAGCUCUUUCGUCAGGGAAGAUAGUGACGGUACCUGGAGAAGCAGCUGCGGCUAACUACGUGCCAGCAGCCGCGGUAAUACGUAGGCAGCAAGCGUUGUUCGGAGUUACUGGGCGUAAAGGGUGUGUAGGCGGUUCUUUAAGUUUGGUGUGAAAUCUCCCGGCUUAACCGGGAGGGUGCGCCGAAUACUGAGGGACUAGAGUACGGGAGAGGAAAGUGGAAUUCCUGGUGUAGCGGUGAAAUGCGUAGAUAUCAGGAGGAACACCGGUGGUGUAGACGGCUUUCUGGACCGUAACUGACGCUGAGACACGAAAGCGUGGGUAGCAAACAGGAUUAGAUACCCUGGUAGUCCACGCCCUAAACGAUGCAUAUUUGGUGUGGGCAGUUCAUUCUGUCUGUGCCGGAGCUAACGCGUUAAAUAUGCCGCCUGGGGAGUACAGUCGCAAGGCUGAAGCUCAAAGGAAUUGACGGGGGCCCGCACAAGCGGUGGAGCAUGUGGUUCAAUUCGACGCAACGCGAAGAACCUUACCUGGGCUCGAACGGCUUCUCAACGUCGUUAGAAAUAGCGAUACCCCGCAAGGGGGUGGAGUCGAGGUGCUGCAUGGCUGUCGUCAGCUCGUGUCGUGAGAUGUUGGGUUUAAGUCCCGCAACGAGCGCA
rnacentral:rRNA from 1 species